rfam:Pseudomassariella vexata strain CBS 129021 BCR38scaffold_15, whole genome shotgun sequence.
ACAUACGACCAUAGGCUGCAGAGAAUUCGGGAUCCCGUCCGCUCUCCCAUAGACAAGCUGCAAACCGCUAGAUUAGUAGUUGGGUGGGUGACCACCAGCGAAUCCCUGGUGUUGUAUGUU